GCGCUGGUUUAGCUCAGUGGUUACUUCAACCUGUUUUUCACGGUCCGCGGGCUAUGAAGUACGAACCACGGGCGCUGUCCAGCGUUUUU
rnacentral:vault_RNA from 1 species